CCACGAAGACAAGUCCAGAGGUCAAAUUUUUUUUUUCCAUAAUAAAGUACAUUACAUUAGCUUUAAUUUAAGAUAUAUAAAUAUAAGUGUCAGACCUUCGAAACACUUUCAAAAGUCAAGGGAAAUUUUUUCAAUUUUUGAGGGUAAUGUCUUCGACUAGAUACGAUUUGUGAUCUUUUGGCGUAUCGUUGAAAGUAAUCUGUUCGGUGAGAGCUGAGAAAAUUGGAAACAGACACAAAAAAAAAACAGAUCAUAGUAAAACCAAUACCUUAUCAGCUUUGAGUCGAAGAAGAUGACAGGAGAAACUAUAUAGCCCAGCCCAACGGAAUCGAACCCCAAUACCUAAGUUCUGAGGUACGACACAUUACCAACUGAGCUAAGUAGACCGUCACAGAAUAAUCUUUAUACUAAAAUUGAUAUCGUCUAAGCUUGGAA